CACACACGGGCCGGCGGCUUCGGCGCAAAUUCGUCGUUUUGCCGCUCCGGUGUCUGAACACAAGAGUUCAGGCGGAUGCCCGUGGAGGUUAAACCGGAAAAGGAACUGU
rnacentral:sRNA from 1 species